AUCGUACUCCCUCCGUCCGGAAAUAUUUGUCGGAGGAAUAGUUGUAUCUAGACGUAUUUUAGUUUUAGAUACAUCCAAAAAAAUUAUGCAUUUCUUCGACAAAUAUUUCCAAACAGAGGGAGUACGAU
rfam:Triticum aestivum genome assembly, contig: Triticum_aestivum_CS42_TGACv1_scaffold_031097_1BL